GGGGGGAGCGUGAGGAUGAGAAGUGUUGGGGUUUUGUCGUGCGGAGCGGGGGGUUCGGUGGUCGGAGUGGCUUGUGGAGAGUCCUGGUGGGGGGCGGGGGGGGUUGGAGCCCUGUGAGGGUUUGGUGCCGGGUUUUGGCUUGGUCCAGCGGUAGGCCCCGGUCAUACAAAGACUUGUUUGCCCGCUGAAGUUGGAGAGCUGGGCUCGGGGCACACGCAGGCGGUUCCCCGCGUCAGGAGGUGCCUCAGAGCUCGGGGGUUCGGGUGGUCAGCGGCUGCGUUCGGUCCGGAGUUGGCUCGGGUUGGGAUCUGCCUGCCCGUGGAAGGCCAGAGCUCCGUCAGCAGCCAGAGCCGUGGUGGUCAGCAGGGCUUGGUGCCGUCUGCAGGCUCAACCAACAGCUUCCUGCUAAUUAAAGGAGAGCUACGUGUCAAAAUGCCUGGAAUACAUAAGGUGUAAGGGGAUAAGCUGCUUGCUGAACUGAGUUGAAGUAAACGUUGGCACGAGCCUUCCAGAGGUUAAAAAGAAUUGAGAAGUCAGAGUUGAGAUAUUGAUACGUAGCUGAUGUAAGAGCCCCCUCUAUAAGUGGGAUGUUUGCUGUUGUCUGCUUCUUUCUGGAGCUUAAUUACGCUCUUUGUAAUCUUAAAAAGGCAGCCGGAGCACUGUUUGUUGCGCACCGUGGCGUGUGCUGAGCCACGAAGUAGGCCGUGAGGAUGUGUUUCAUUGGGGCAUGGCAGCUAAAUGGAGGUCAGCGUCGGGCGUGUGUUGCCUGUGCCUCGUGCUGGAAGGGUACCCACAAGAAAGGGCUCGCCUGUGGGUGCUUCGAGAUCUCCAGUUUCUAAUUUGGAGCGUCGGUUUUGUGACCAAGCUGGAAAGAGUUUGAGAAAGGAGUAAUUAGAUUGGGUGAAAAGAAUGGGAGAAACGUACAUUUGGUCUGAUAACUUUAAAAUGUCAUGAAGAAGACUUGAAGGUAACAGCCGUAACUCUAGUUCUUCCUAAUAGUUUGCCUAAGUUUUCUGCUAGCUUGUGAAAAUGAGAUGCUUUUGGUUUUAAACACAUGAAAAACUUUGACAAAGUGAUCAUCACCUUCAAAGCUUAUGAGAAUCAUCUUCAGACCCAGCUGAUACAUGUAUAAAAACCCAUUCUUUAAAUAUAUUAUUCUUCUCUUAGCUUACUGUAUUCAAGGAUUGGACAGCAGAAGACUGUCCGGUAAUAGAGGACUCUGUUUCCUUUUCUUCAUGACAGUGCUCUGUUUCUCAACCUGAGAUACCGCUGAUGCAUUUCUGUGUGGAAACCUGGGGUAGCCUCAGGAUUAUGCUCCCUGUAUUUGUGGAGCCGCAGAUCUGCCUGCAACUUCCAUGGCCUACAGCUGCUGAGAUGUAUUAUUUAUUACAAAGAUUAACACUUUUAUUUCUGUGUGUUUUAACGUUGAAGAUGGACAGGAUUUGAUUUAAUCUGGUUGCUCAGUAAAAUGCCCUAACAGAAUUCUAAAACUGGGUAGAACAACCCAUAGCAUUCUCUGAUUGUAAAUCCUAGAGGUGGAAUUGCUGGCAGAACUUCAUUUCCAUAGGCCUCUCGUUCCUGCAGCCUUGUCUGUGCUGAAUGGACAGCCGCUGGUUGGGGGAUUAGAUAGGGACAGUCCUGAGGAACCAUUUGUGGGGCUGAGACUCUGAACGAACAUGUUUGUGUUGUGCCAGAGGUAAUUCCUGUGUUUCUACAGCAGUGCCUCAUACCAAGAGGUCUAAGGCCGAUUUGGGUUCUCUGGUUGCUUUGAAUUAGCAGGGAACCUAUGGCAUCAAGAUGUAGGCUGUGCUAGUUGUAAAGGUUUUGCUUGGGCCAGGACUGUACCUGUCCUUUAGCAGUAAGUCUUCCCUUGAAGUUUGCUGUCAUGCUGCUCAUUGUAGUUGAAUAUGUUCAUUUGUAUUUAGUCUAGUUAAGCAGAUGUUUAAAGAGAACCUUGCUUUAUGAUGGAGGACUUCCAGUAAUUUAAUUUUUCUCUGCUUGUAAUCCCUUCAUUCUUUGGAUCUGGAGGGAUCAGUCUUUCUAUUCCUUUUAAAAAGCACUGAAGAUGUUGGUAUAAGCAAUGCUCCUCUCUAAAACAGAAAGCCUUGUUUUACAUCGGAGUUUAUUUGACUCAAUUUGUCAGUAGGUUAUUUUUUUCCUUACUGUUACUCAUGGUGAUUGUUUGUAUGUGGAAGGUCUGCGCCUUGACUGCAGCCUGUAACUACAACAUCCAUUUCUGAAGCAGCAGUGAGCCUCCAACAUGAAUGGAUGCUCCUUCUGGAAGGGAGCAUGCCGUGUGGGUGGCCCCCCAUGCCUGUCUGCAGCCCUGCAGCUCCUUGCCUCUUCCCAGGCCUCAAGAGGCCCCAAGGCUAAAGCAGCUUGCAAGAGGAGGAUCUCAACUCUAGGUGGUUCAGGAUACAAGUUUUGGAAGUGGCUAAGCUUCCUUUUUAGAAAUGCUAUUAAAACUUUUGGAAAGCAAGGAGUGGUUCUGAUGCUGUGCUUGGCUUUGUUAUGUUGGUUUGGGGCUUGGUUGGCUGGCUUGGUUUAGUUUAAGGACCUUAUACUGUUUUCCCUUUUAUUCUGGUGGAAGCGAAUACCAAAGAUACCAUUGAUCUCAGUAAGAAAAAGAUAUGGGAUGCAGUUUUGAAUGAACUUUUGUCAUUAAGGACUUUGUUUCUGAGAGUGAUCUGAAUGUAUGAAACCACAGACUUUCACUGACUUUUCGUUGUAAUUAUUUCUGGAACUCUUAGGUAGCAUGAUGCUGCUCAGUCAGUUUCAGUUUCAGGUAGGCCUGCACAAGAACUAAAGCCUGGAUUUGAAAUAAAAUCUAGGAAAAUCAGUGAAAAUGUGUCAAGUGUUAAAGCCUCCUGAACGCUGUGGAACUACAGUUAAAUCAAGUGGGAUGCUUACAAAGAGCAGCAGUUCAGCAAUUAAGCAGUGCUGACUCCUUUCUGCUCUCCAAAUUCAGAGUUCUUCAUCACUGUGGCUGCUAUUUUUGAUGAAUUGUCUAGAAAGGGGUUCAGACUUAACAGAAUUAUAAAAUCAAUUUAAAAUUUGUCAAAACCGUAUCAAAUACAGAAUUAUAGAUUGUGAGUAUAUGUGCGUAUAUGGCCUACUGCAUACAUGGGUACGUAUGCAUAUAUGUUUAGCUGCAUACCCAAAUGUCUGCACGUACAUGCAGGAGUGUAUAAAAGAGGUGCAAUAAGUAGAUGCUUUAAAGCAGUGCUUAAAAUUAAGCAACUGUAUGGCUCUACAGCUUUGCCUUUGGAGUUGUACCUCUGAGUUGUUGUUUUGAUGUGGCACAUGGCAGCAGGAAUCAGUCAUUACCAUGAGAUGGCUAUUCAUAGACCUUUGUGAGACGACUUGAUCAGCUCAGUUUGUCUGCAGCUUGACAGAUGUUCCCAUUGCGGAAUUGUCCCUUCCCUCCUGCCCUUCCCGUGGGAAUGACCGUGGAACAAACCAUGGCUUUGAGUGCCUUGUUCUUUGCCAGAUGUUGGUUCCCUGGGCUGGAGCUGAGGAACGUUGUAGGGUGAUACAGAUUGCUGGCAAUACGUGAGGGGUGUUUGUCACUUUGGUAUUAUCAAUGUGUGUUCUUUUUCUGGAGGCCUCUGUUUCGGGGGAUUGAAGUUUACUUUAAAAAUGGAAGUGUUAAAAGGACUGGAAAUUUGUUGGGGUUUCUAAUAACUGCCUUUACUGAAGAAAGAAUAAAAGGUUUUGUUCAUCCGUUAAAUUUUUCAGUGUGCUUUUUUCAUGUAUCUUUUAUUUUUCUUUUACAAGAGAUAUUUCAUAAUAAAGCAAGCAGCAUUUUAAAAAUGCUUAUUUCCUGACAAUGGCUGGUAGCUAGGGCCCAUAUUAGCAAUUAAUUACAUAAUUCCUGUGUAUGGUGAAGGUGAAGUCCAGGAUUUAAAUAUGUAUAUUCUCUUUAUUUGAGAUGAGUCUACAUUUUCAGUGACGUUAAACCCAAAUUUAUUUUGUUACUUACGGAAGGAAGUGUGAUCUCAAAAGUAAAUAGCAUCUUAAAUAGUAGGCCCUUGGUUUGCCCAGUCAGUAGCGUGGUCACACGAAGAAAUAUCCCCGAGUCGGGGAACCAGAACAGUUGUCAAUUGUUUGCCCAACAAAUCCUGUUGGAUCAAAUGGUGAAAUUCUCAACGUUGAGAUAACAAGAGGCUUGCAAUAAUGUUGCCUUGUACCUUGCUUCCAAAGGGAGAAAAUGCAGCCUAACGUAGGAGAAAAGUAAAAAUCAGCCAAGGAAAAGGUAGACCUAUGUAAUACAGAUAGUUUAAUUUCUCCAUUGGGACUGCCUGGUGUUUCAAAAACUGUAC
ensembl:lncRNA